GCCUGUGUGGCUCAGUGGUUAGAGUGUUGGUCUGCAAAGGGUCACAGGUUCGAUUCCCAGUCAAGGGCA
rnacentral:tRNA from 1 species